UCUUGUUGGUUGCCAUCAAUGCAUAGUAUUGCUUCCUCAGAUAGGUGGAUGUAUAUUCUAUGAUUGGCAUCAUCACUUCUGGAAUGGUAAAGUAUUUCCGCCGGUACGAUGACAGCUCGUUCUUGCAUAGAGAGUCGCAAUUGUGUUUGCAGAUAUAUUUGUUGCUCGAUAGUGUAAUUGGGAGAGAUUCCUCCCAUAAGCCUCCUUCCCAGCCUCCUUGUGGCCUGCUGGGCAUUAUGUAGCCUUAUGUGGUUGCGCCUGUAUUCACGAAUUUGAUCUUCAAAGAGUGGAACCUGUGGGAGGCUGGUUGCUUGCUCCUGGAUGAUUCUGGUAGUCAUAGCCAUCUAGUUUUUUUUAAACUUUUCCUGCUCCUCCUUUAGAAUUUUGUAGGGAUCUUUGAAUACUCGUAGCUUGUCUCUCUUCUUUUUUGAUUUCUCCGAAGGUCCUAGAGAUAAAUUUUGCAAUUUUUCAAUAAGGGAAUCAGGUAAACUGGUUGAAGAUUUACCUCCCUUUAAUUGCUCGAUGAUUAUUUUCAAGUCUACCUGUAUGUCUUUGAGACUUUCAGUAAUUUGGACUAGUAGUUGAAGUUGCAUGUUGUUUUGUUUGAUGAGGGCACUACUUGAUGUUGAGACAGUAGGGUAGUCACUAGAUUUUGCAAAACCUAUAGCGAGGGGCUGCUCAAUGUGCUCUGUUGCUUGCACCGCAUCUUUGUAAGAUUUGGCUCCCCUUAUUUGCUGGCCUCUUCUUCUACUAGCUUUGGCUGCUUAGAAAACUUGAUCGCAAGUUCUGUGGCUUCUUGUUUUGUUAGAGGAACGCUUUUGUGGUAGAAAUGGAGAAGAAACGCGCUAAGGAGAAGCAUGUGGAGAAGAGAGCAGAGUAGGGUUGUGCCUCUUGGCGCGACCAUGCCUCUUGGCACGAUCGUGUUGGCGCUACUUGGAAUUCCGUUCUGUUUUCCCUGUACAAAAAUUUGUACAAGCACAGAACUUUUCUUA